GCAGCUUUAGCUCACUUGGGAGAGCGCCAGACUGAAGUCUACUGCGGUUCAAAAGCAUUCUAUGCGAUAUCUGGAGGCACUGUGUUCGAUCCACAGAAGCUGCA